CCUACGGGAGACAGCAGUGAGGAAUAUUGGUCAAUGGGCGUAAGCCUGAACCAGCCAAGUCGCGUGAAGGAUGAAGGUUCUAUGGAUCGUAAACCUCUUUUAUAAGGGAAUAAAGUGCGGGACGUGUCCCAUUUUGUAUGUACCUUAUGAAUAAGGAUCGGCUAACUCCGUGCCAGCAGCCGCGGUAAUACGGAGGAUCCGAGCGUUAUCCGGAUUUAUUGGGUUUAAAGGGUGCGUAGGCGGCCUGUUAAGUCAGGGGUGAAAGUUUGUGGCUCAACCAUAGAAUUGCCGUUGAAACUGGGAGGCUUGAGUAUAUUAGAGGCAGGCGGAAUGCGUGGUGUAGCGGUGAAAUGCUUAGAUAUCACGCAGAACCCCGAUUGCGAAGGCAGCCU
rnacentral:rRNA from 1 species